ACAUCUUCGGUGUAGUUUCACUUGUGUGACUUUCAUAGUGGGGAGAAAGGGAAAGGAUAUUUUUGGGACUUCAGAUUGGCCUCAUGGUGGCCUCUAUCUCCUUGAGAUGUGCAGCAGGC
ensembl:snoRNA